rnacentral:lncRNA from 1 species
CUAGUUGGCAAAUUGAUUUAUCUCACUAUAACUAGACCUGACAUUUGUUUUGCUGUGAAUCAGGUGAGUCAACACAUGCAAGUACCUAAGGAACAUCAUUGGCGCAUGGUGGAAAGGAUCUUGAUGUAUCUCAACGGCUCACCUGAUCAAGGAGUAUGGAUGGGCUGCAAUGGAAGCACUGAAGUGGUGGGAUACUGUGAUGCGGAUUGGGCUGGUGAUAGAGCAGACAGGAGAUCAACCACAGGCUAUUGCACAUUCAUUGGAGGCAACUUGGUGACUUGGAAGAGUAAGAAGCAGAAGGUGGUGUCUUGCUCAAGUGCAGAAGCUGAGUAUAGAGCUAUGCUGAAGCUCACCAACGAGUUAGUAUGGAUCAAAGGCAUCUUGAAGCAUUUGGAGAUUGAUCAAGCCACGCCAAUGACCAUGCAUUGUGACAACCAAGCAGCUAUCCACAUAGCCUCCAACUCGGUGUUCCAUGAGAGAACCAAGCACAUUGAAGUUGAUUGCCACAAGGUGAGGCAGAUGAUCAUCUUAGGAGUCAUCUUGCCAUGCUACACAAGAAGUGAAGAUCAGUUAGCGGAUGUGUUCACCAAGGCUGCAAGACAGAAGACAAUGGAGUCCAUUCACAUACGGUUGGGCCUCAUUGAUCUUGGGAAGAGAAGGAGUUGAUCCCCUUGGCUGUGAGGUCUUUACUCUUUUUCCCUUAUCAAGGUUUUAUCCCAAUGGGUUUUCCUUGGUAAGGUUUUUAAUGAGGAAGAUCUCAUAGCUAUCCAAGCUUAGGCUUUCACAAAGCUAAGCUUGAGGGGGAGUGUUGAGUUGAGUUGAUUAUAUUGGUAUGGAGAGAAGAGGAGUUGAAGAGGAGAAGAGAUGGAGAAGCUUAGGGGGUUUGGGUGUGAAUGGUACGGACGUCCGUACAAGGCCGUACAUGGCCGUACCGUCCGUACCAAAGGCCUCGACCAAAACUUACCCAACUCGACCAAGUGAAACGGUAACAAGGGAGUGUUACCUUGGGGACUUAAGGAGAAGGGAUUAGACCGUUGAGUGGAUAAGGGAAGAGCGUGCCAGGCUGGAACAGGCUGUAAAGAGGCAAAGCGUGUGAGCCUUACCAUCCAAUCAUCCGGAAAGCAACCUUGACUCUACAUGCUUCAAUAGUGCCCAUUUCGCCUCUUGUAAACCCUAAUGUCUUCUAUAUAAAUAUGUAACCUCACUCAUUAAUAAGAUCAGUCAGUUCGAGUCUCUCUAAUCUCUUAGACUAUGGUUUUCUCUUAGACACUAAACGGCUCUUUCUAGUCUCUUAAUCUUUCACAAACUUCUCUUAAUCACUUCCUAAACACUCUCUUUACUCUAAUCACUCUAAAGAUCUCUUAAUCUCAUACAAUCAUGGAUAAAGAAUGGAAGGAGUCGGUUGGAGCUGAGGCAGGAGCUAUGAUCAAGAAUGAUACAUGGUACGAGAGUGAGUUACCAAAAGGGAAGAAGGCUGUGACUAGUAGAUGGAUAUUCACAAUCAAGUACAAAGCGGAUGGAAAGAUUGAGAGGAAGAAGUCAAGGCUAGUUGCAAGAGGUUUCACUCAAACUUAUGGAGAAGAUUACAUAGAAACCUUUGCACCAGUAGCUAAACUACACACAAUCCGGAUUGUACUAAGCUUGGCUGUGAAUCUUGGAUGGGGGUUAUGGCAAAUGGAUGUGAAGAAUGCGUUUCUACAAGGUGAACUUGAGGAUGAAGUGUAUAUGCAUCCACCUCCAGGCCUUGAACACUUAGUGAAGAGAGGGAAUGUGUUAAGACUGAAGAAAGCUAUCUAUGGGCUGAAGCAAUCACCAAGAGCUUGGUAAAACAAGUUGAGCACUACUCUGAAUGGCCGAGGCUUCAAGAAGUCUGAACUAGAUCACACCCUCUUCACACUCACGACUCCCUCAGGUAUGAUUGCACUCCUUGUGUAUGUUGAUGAUAUCAUUAUCACAGGGAGUGAUAAGGAAGGUAUCAUAGCAACCAAGGAGUUUCUUAAAUCCAUGUUUGAGAUUAAAGACUUGGGAGAAAUGAAAUACUUUCUUGGAAUUGAGAUAUGUAGAUCCAAGGAAGGUUUGUUCAUGUCCCAAAGGAAGUAUACACUUGAUCUUUUGAAAGGUGCAGGUGCUUAUGGAGGCAAGACAGCAAGGAUGCCUAUGGAGGAUGGCUACAAAGUCCCACGAGAGGGGGAGAUUGAAGACAGCAAACCUUAUCAGGAUCCUAAACUCUAUAGAAAACUAGUUGGCAAAUUGAUUUAUCUUACUAUAACUAGACCUGACAUUUGUUUUGCUGUGAAUCAGGUGAGUCAACACAUGCAAGUGCCUAAGGAACAUCAUUGGCGCAUGGUGGAGAGGAUCUUGAUGUAUCUCAACGGCUCACCUGAUCAAGGAGUAUGGAUGGGCUGCAAUGGAAGCACUGAAGUGUUGGGAUACUGUGAUGCGGAUUGGGCUGGUGAUAGAGCAGACAGGAGAUCAACCACAGGCUAUUGCACAUUCAUUGGAGGCAACUUGGUGACUUGGAAGAGUAAGAAGCAGAAGGUGGUGUCUUGCUCAAGUGCAGAAGCUGAGUAUAGAGCAAUGCUGAAGCUCACCAACGAGUUAGUAUGGAUCAAAGGCAUCUUGAAGCAUUUGGAGAUUGAUCAAGCCACGCCAAUGACCAUGUAUUGUGACA